rnacentral:hammerhead_ribozyme from 1 species
AUCCAUCUGACGAGUCCGAAAUAGGACGAAACGCGCAUCCUGGAU